rfam:Valsa mali var. pyri strain SXYL134 unplaced genomic scaffold scaffold00083, whole genome shotgun sequence.
ACAUACGACCAUAGGUAGAAGAAAAUUCGGCAUCCCGUCCGCUCUGCCCUAGACAAGCUUCUGACCGCUGGAUUAGUAGUUGGGUCGGUGACGACCAGCGAAUACCCGGUGUUGUAUGUU